AGGUCCGUGCUCUAUCCACUACACCAUGCUGCUUCUCAUCCACGACUCCUUGCUGCUACUCUAUGCUGGGCUAACAUAUCCCAUGGAUAUCACAGACAUCUCAAAAGAUGACAGAGCCUAAAUCGCGGUUCAUCCAGAUUUGUUCCGGGAAGACGGAUUUUCGACUGGCCUGCCCCUCUCCAACACUGAUACAGACUUGCACGCCAAGUUUUAAAUUUUAAGCUUUGAGCUUCCUUCCCUUAGAAAACAGCGUGCCUAAUGGAAUUGCCUCCUUGCGUGCAGUCAUCUUGAGUCUCCGCCCUCGACUCUCUCCGGUGCCGCUGCUGCCCAGCAUAGAAGCUGUUGCAUCCCCUUCCUGCCUCUGAGAACUGAGGAAGAAGCAAGAAGCCGCUCGGAGCUAAACGUGAUCUUCAUCUGCCCACCCAAGGCACUGACCCCUUGAGAUUUUCCUGAUGUGACGGUGGACCUGUCCAGCCCAGCUUCAAGCAACUGUGCAUUUGCUGCUUUUCUU